rnacentral:tmRNA from 1 species
GGGCCAGAAAUGGUUUCGACGGGGCGAAGAGGUGAGGUGGACAGCCGGUGGAUGAGCAGGCCACCUAAAAUAGGCUCAAAUUCUGAGAUGCCAAAGAGAAAUCUUUUGCAGCUAAGUUGUGCGACAAUGUUGUGGCGCUGUUCGCAGCUCCCGCAGCUCCUGUUGCUCUCGCCGCGUAAGCGGUCAACUCGGGGUAGCGCAGUACCCUGCUAACCAAAACUGCGGGUUCCCAGUGAAGCACCCAUAAAGCUGGGUGGUGGAGGCGGCAGGAGAGCGCAAGAAGGCUGACCCAGCGCUCACAACAAACAGGGUCAGGAAAUAUGGCUGUAGGAAACCGAGCGGAAGCGUCGCGGACGUGAGUUCGAGUCUCACCUGGUCCAAUU